UUGGGAUAGGGAAUUCCAGAGGAUGGAAGAGGCUCUGGAGAAGUCCUGGAGGUGAUCAUGGGAAGAGGUGACAAAGGAGCUGGAGAGCAGGAGGUGGAUGGAAGAGUGCAG